rnacentral:rRNA from 1 species
CAGCAGCCACGGGAAUACGUAGGUGGCAAGCGUUGUCCGGAAUUAUUGGGCGUAAAGGGCUCGUAGGCGGAUAUUUAAGUCUGAUGUGAAAGCCCACGGCUCAACCGUGGAGGGUCAUUGGAAACUGGGAGACUUGAGUGCAGAAGAGGAGAGCGGAAUUCCAUGUGUAGCGGUGAAAUGCGUAGAUAUAUGGAGGAACACCAGUGGCGAAGGCGGCUCUCUGGUCUGUAACUGACGCUGAGGCUCGAAAGCGUGGGGAGCAAACAGGAUUAGAUACCCCAGUAGUCCCUGUCUCUUAUAC